rnacentral:misc_RNA from 1 species
CAUUAACAAAUCAAGUUGUGUGCUGUCGCGUCUCUUCUUCUUCUCUUGAAAAAGAGGGGGGAGGGGAUGUGUACACACAAAUAAGCGCUCUGCCGCACUGAUCGUAAGAUCGGUAGGCAUUGUGUGUGGGUAGGUGGUUACGCAAGUGACCGCUUGCUCGCUGAGAGAGACCUUCGCGGGACUCUCUCUCAACAUAGACGAUUGAUUGUUUGACAGAGUUUAUUUUAUGACAAAUAAUAAAAGACAACUUUUAACAAUGGAUCUCUUGGCUCUUGCAUCGA